UAUUAGCUGGGAGUGAAGAGGGAUACCCUCAAUGUGUGAAACUUUGCUGGGGUAAACCCGUGUCCGAGUUGUGCACUAUGGACGCUUUCUCUUCGUAUGUAACGGGGGGGGAAAACCUUGAAAAACGGCCCCUCUGAGGGUCACCGUCCUGUAGCCGCUGGCUGCACUCGCGCCAAUGACAAGCGCUCCUCGAGUCGCGUAGUUUUGUAAUGCUCCGCCAAGUGGGAGGUAGAGACCUUCUAAGGCUAAAUAUGAUGAGGUGACCGAUAGCACACAAGUACCGCGAGGGAAAGGUGAAAAGCAACCAUGAAAAAUGGGUUGAAACAGUAGUGAAAGCGCUUCCGGGAUAAGGGCUAUCGGGUGCUGGGGCUCUUUGGGUGUGCUUUAGUGCUACCCUUGGAGACGGCCCGCGCGGGUUGAUGUUGGGGCGAUAGACGCGCCGUUGGAAUUCGGCUGCCUCCGGGGAGUGUUGUAGCCUUCGGUUGCUGAUCCUCCUGCGACCUUGUGUGAAUGCGGGUCUUGUGACCGUUAGCCGCCCGUCUUGAAACACGGACCAAGGAGUGCACCUUGCAUGCGAGUCGAAGGGAAUUGAAACCUGGAGGCGUAGCGAACGCGACGAUGGGGAAUGUCCUUGUGGCAAGCACCCGCACCCGCCUUGUGCGAGGUAGAGCAUGUACGGUGCGACCCGAAAGAUGGUGAACUAUGCCCGGGUAAGGUGAAGCCAGUGGAAACGCUGGUGGAGGCCUGUAGCGAUUCUGACGUGCAAAUCGAUCGCGUAACCUGGGUAUAGGGGCGAAAGACCUAUCGAACCGUCUAAU
rnacentral:rRNA from 1 species